rnacentral:rRNA from 1 species
UGUGUAGGCGGAUAAAUUAGCGUUUUGUGAAAUCCCUCGGCUUAACCGAGGAAUUGCUUGACGAACUGUUUAUCUUGAGGCAAGUAGGAGUGCACGGAACUCUUGGUGGAGCGGUGGAAUGCGUAGAUAUCAAGAGGGACGCCAGUGGUGAAGACGGUGCACUGGGCUUGUCCUGACGCUGAGACACGAAAGCGUGGGUAGCGAACAGGAUUAGAUACCCUGGUAGUCC